UACAGAGGGGGCAAGCGUUGUUCGGAAUUACUGGGCGUAAAGGGCGCGUAGGCGGCCGGUUAAGUCGAACGUGAAAUCCCCGGGCUCAACCCGGGAACUGCGUCCGAUACUGGCAGGCUUGAAUCCGGGAGAGGGAUGCGGAAUUCCAGGUGUAGCGGUGAAAUGCGUAGAUAUCUGGAGGAACACCGGUGGCGAAGGCGAGUCCCUGGACAACUCCUGACACUGAGGCACGAAAGCUAGGGGAGCAAACAGG
rnacentral:rRNA from 1 species